GAAAGCCGUAUGCGGGAAAACCGCACGUACGGUUUGAUGAGGAGGGGCUGGGUCCCCCAGCCCUUUCCUCUACAUGCGGACCCGCACGUACGGUGGUGUGAGAGGACGGGGGCUAGGCGCCCCUUCCUACUCGAU
rnacentral:ncRNA from 1 species